rnacentral:rRNA from 1 species
CAGUAGCCGCGGUAAAACGGAGGGGGCUAGCGUUGUUCGGAAUUACUGGGCGUAAAGCGCACGUAGGCGGCUUGGUAAGUUAGAGGUGAAAGCCUGGAGCUCAACUCCAGAAUUGCCUUUAAGACUGCCGAGCUAGCAGGUGAGAGAGGUAAGUGGAAUUCCGAGUGUAGAGGUGAAAUUCGUAGAUAUUCGGAAGAACACCAGUGGCGAAGGCGGCUUACUGGCUCAUACUGGACGCUGAGGUGCGAAAGCGUGGGGAGCAAACAGGAUUAGAUACCCCAGUAGUCCCUGUCUCUUAUAC